rnacentral:rRNA from 1 species
UGCUAAGGUAGCAUAAUCAUUUGUCAUUUAAUUGAUGACUAGGAUGAACGGUUUUACAAUAUAGUUCUUUUUUUUAUAAAAAAUUGAAUUUGUAUUUUAAGUAAGAAUACUUAAAUAUAAAAAAGGGACGAUAAGACCCUGAAAGCUUUAUAUAACUUUUUAUUAGUUUAGUUUUUUUUGUAAGAGUAAAAAUUUAUAAUUAGCUGGGGAAGUUUUAAUACAAAAACUAUAAUUUUGUUUUGCUUGGGUUUUAUGGUCCAUUAAAUAAUGAUAAAUAGAGUGAGUUACUUCAGGGAUAACAGCAUAAUAAUUUUGUAGAGUUCUUA